CGGCUCAGUAACACGUGGAUAACUGCCUAAGGUGGAGGAUAACCCCGGGAAACUGGGGAUAAUACUCCAUAGGUUAAAGGUACUGGAAUGUUCUUUAACCGAAAGUUCCGGCGCUUUAGGAUGGAUCUGCGGCCGAUUAGGUUGUUGUUGGGGUAGUGGCCCAACAAGCCUGUAAUCGGUACGGGUUGUGGGAGCAAGAGCCCGGAGAUGGAAUCUGAGACACGAUUCCAGGCCCUACGGGGCGCAGCAGGCGCGAAAACUUUACAAUGCAGGAAACUGUGAUAAGGGAACCCCGAGUGCCCGUAUAUGCGGGCUGUCCGGAUGUUUAAAACGCAUCCGAAGAAAGGGCCGGGCAAGACCGGUGCCAGCCGCCGCGGUAAUACCGGCGGCUCGAGUGGUGGCCACUUUUAUUGGGCUUAAAGCGUUCGUAGCUUGAAUAAUAAGUCUCUUGGGAAAUCUGCAGGCUUAACCUGCAGGCGUUUAAGAGAAACUGUUGUUCUAGGAACCGGAAGAGGUGAGAGGUACUCCGGGGGUAGGAGUGAAAUCCUGUAAUCCCCGGGGGACCACCGAUGGCGAAGGCAUCUCACCAGGACGGCUUCGACAGUGAGGAACGAAAGCUGGGGGAGCGAACCGGAUUAGAUACCCGGGUAGUCCCAGCCGUAAACGAUGUGCGUUAGGUGUGCCGGUGACCACGAGUCACUGGGGUGCCGAAGGGAAACCGUGAAACGUACCGCCUGGGAAGUACGGUCGCAAGGCUGAAACUUAAAGGAAUUGGCGGGGGAGCACAAGGG
rnacentral:rRNA from 1 species